CUCUUUUUGUUAGGCCAGCAACAAUAUGCCUUCCACUGAUCGAGUAUUUAAAUAUACGUUCCAUACACAUGUAUACAAAUUGAUCAACGUACAAAGGAGAAAUUUGGUUUUAUUUCGAGCGCGGCGUAUAUGCAAACAGUGUAAACAGUUUGUUGUUGUCUAGUUUGUAUUAUUACAACAAGUGCAGUUUUCUACGGAAUUAAAUUGUAUAUUAUCCUCAUAAGGUUAAUUUGAAGUUAUUAAUGUGUAAAUAUCACAUAAUUUAAAACCGACGAUAUAUGAUUUUGUUAAAAAUUAAGUAAAAGUGGAAGUAUUACAAAAGUCAGUUCGAUGAAAAAUAAGUGCGGAAAAAAAUAUGAAUGUGCAAUUAAGUGCUUUUAUGUGAAAUUAGGAAAGUGGUAAUGGUGGUAUGUACUUUAAAAUCGUCGAAAAUUCAAAGAUGCAAUAAAAGUGUUGAAAUAGUGAGUGUUGAAACGUAUGUUUAAAAAAAAAAGGAUUUGUUGACAACAUAAACGCGACAUAUUUGCACAAACACAUGAUUCUUGCAUUAAGAUUGUUAACCAGCGGACUUUUUUCAGUUGAGUAUUCCAACGCCUUUUCUUCUGCUCACGGAAUAACCUACCACAACGAUAUGUAUUAAAAUAGAAGACGAAAAAACGGCAUAAAGAAACCAGACAGUUGUAAUAGUAAUUAUUAUUAUUCUACUCAACUCUACAGCAGUGAUUUUAAUUGAAAACGUGCCGGUAGCAGCUCAACAAGCGGUUACAUCCACAUUUCACCAAAAUACUUUUCACCUACGACAGCGACUGGCUUUGCUCUACCCAGCGACAACAUGACUGUAAAACUUACCAAAUUUUUCAGUAGCACAGCCGUCAUACCAACGAUGACAACGGCAUCGCCUUCCACUGAAACGGCUGCCACCAGCUACUAUCAUCAACAGCAACACAUACAAUUUAUGCAACAAGAGACGCAACAGCAAUCGUCGCUACCCUAUAAUCCGUAUAUUGCGGGUGGUAUGGAUAGCGACGACUUAUAUGAUGAUGACAACAUGUCGUUAUACUUGAGCUCCACCGCUGGCAGUGGUAUUAUGACGCAGCGCGGUCAUUCAUGCAACAAUUCACAGCGUCCGUUGUUGGGUGAAAGGAAACCGCCAAAAAUGUUGUUGAAUGGCAAUGCAGCGAAGACAAAUAAGAAGUCGACUGGCUUUAAUCAACCGCAACGUCACUUGCAGCAACAACAAAAACAACAGCAGCAGCAUGAAGGGAAACCGCAAUUGCUGCCGCAACAGAAAUCGUAUAUCUCGCCGUACGUGCAGCAACAGAAACGUGAUAGCGCCAAGGGUUUGCAUGGCUUUAACGAUUUCGAUAUUUUGUCACAGCAAUAUACAGAGCAUUUACGUAGUAGUCCGCAUAUAGGCUACCCUUACGGCAGCCCUCCUUCACCCUCGACAAAGUCUAAUGAUUUCGUAUUCGAUCCGUUGCCCCAGCAAAACUCUUUAUAUGGGAAUGACGUGGUGCACCAACAACAAAAUGCGGGUCAGUAUCGGAUACAAAAAACAGGAAAUGACAUUAAUGAGACGGAUUACUCUUAUUACGAGCGAAACGCUUACAAUGUUAGCGGUAGUGGUAGCGGCAGCCCUGACGGUGGUAGUAAUGGUCUUCCGGCCGCAGUGCAUUAUAUGGGUAAAUCGUCCCGCUUUGACGAUGAUUUUUGCACUCGCCGUAAUGCCACGUUUUCUGAGCCGCAACCGGUGUUAUUAUCAGAAAAGGCUUGGACGCCUUCGGUGCCCGCAGUUACUGAUGAUAUGAGCGGUCCUUUUAUAUUUGGUGGUGUACCUCCUGAACGUUUUAACCAUCAACGACCACAGAACGGCGAUAACACGUUACCAAAGCAGCAAAAUCAGCUGGCUUACACCAGUUCACCGACCGCAGCCGAAAGCUCCUCGAACUGUGCGAUAGAUGUGUCAGACAAGCACCCACCGUAUAAUGACCAAGUUACUGUUUUGAGCAGCGAUACAAGUUCCAGUUCACGUAACAGCAGUGGUAAGGGGGUGAAGUUUCUGCUGCGAAAAAGCAAAUCAAAGCGAAGCGCCAAAGAAAAAAAAUUCGAUACGUCUGGAGUGCAAACGAAAUCUCAGCCGAAGCAACUGAAAACACCUUCCAUCAAAUGUGUGCUUGUUGGUGAUGGUGCUGUGGGAAAGACUAAUUUGAUUUUGACUUAUUUGAAAAAUCGCUUCAAUACCGAGCACGUGCCAACUGCAUCGGACAUAUAUAACGCGGAUGUAUUGGUAAACGAUAAUCCUGUACAUUUAACCAUCUGCGACACGGCAGGACAAGACACAUUGGAUAAUCUGCGACAAUUGUGCUAUCCCGAUAGCGAUGUAUUCGUUUUAUGUUUCUCCGUUGUGAGACCAGAGACGUUUCAUGCUGUUAAAACGAAGUGGGCACCAAAAUUUUCCAAGUCAAAAGCUUCCCUUAUACUCGUUGGAACACAGGCCGAUUUGCGUAAGAAUUCGAAGGUGUUGAAAAAUUUGCAGGUUUGUUAACCGUCGGAAAAUUUUGCACAAGUCUUGUUCACCUAACGGUUCCUUAAUACAAUAAUGCAUCUAUUUUAAGUUACAUAUGUACAUACAUAUAUAACGAGCGGAAUGCCUAGAUGUUUGUUAUUAUAUAUUUGUAUGUUUAUUAUUAUAUAUCUAUCUAUCUUGCAACAUGUUUCUACAAAGUAUUGUAUAAUAGUUUUGUUCACCUAACGGUUGUUUGUAUGUAUAAAUCAGGAUGAAGAGACGAGUUGAAAUCCGGGUGAUUGUCUGUCCGUCCGUCUUUGCAAGCUGUAACUGUAUAUAAAUUUAAAAAUUGCGAUAUCUUGAUGAAACGUGGUAUACAUGUUUUGUAGCACCAUAACGAUGGGGGUAUUGUAAAUGGGCGUAAUAGGACUACUGCCACGGCCACAAAACGCCAUUAAUCGAAAAUAAAUAAAUGGCCAUAACUAAGCUCCAUAACAAGAUAUAAAACUGUUAUUUAUUAACGAAUCGCAUUAGAGAGGGGCAUCUGCAGUUCAAAAGUCGGCGUAGCCCUGCCGUCUAAGAGUUUUAAUGUGAUUAUUUCCUAAACCAAUAAAGCUUUAAUAACCAAAUUCUGAGGGAACAAAUAUUUUCCUUUACCGACAUGUGAAAAUGGGUAAAAUCGGGUGAUAACUCCGCCCACUCCUCAUAUAACGAUUUUAAAGUAAAAGUACGAUAACUCAUUAAAAAACCCCAUAUACUUUUAAUUGUACAUAUAAUAUGAUGGUAUAAUUAAGUUUUAUAUGAGCCAGGACAAAAAUUGGACAAUGGGCGUGACCUUUAGGUGAAAACCAAUAUUUCGGGAUCUACUUGACCGAUAGUAACCAAAUGCUUAAUGGCGAAAGUCCAAUUUCACAUUCAGAUGCCUGGGAUUUGGCUGCAAGCAUAGGAGCGUCAUACAUUGAGACUUCAUCAGCAACACAGGAUAAAGUCAAAGAAGUCUUCGACACUGCAAUUUGGGAAGGACUGACACCAACUAUAUUGCCUCCCACACCAACGCCACCAUUAUGGAAAAAGAUACUGUGUUUGGCGUAGGAAUGCUUCCUAAUUCGGUAUAUGUAACAAAUAUGCAGCGCAUACAUAUAUAACUAUUGCUAAAGAAUUUACACACAUAUAAAUACAUACAUAUAUAUGAAUAUAUGUAUGUUUCUACUGAUAUUCAUGUAUUAACGCAAAUCGCUUAAGUAUGUAUUGUUGUAAUUAAAGUUAGCGUGAAGUCCAGCUUUAUAGACUGAUUAAGAUUAGUUGUACAUUUACGAGUAUGUAUACACGCUAUAGGCACAGAUAAUUGAAAAUAAUCAUUAAAUUAAUUGUUUAAAACACAA